AACUCAAAGGAAUUGGCGGGGGCCUGCACAAGCGGUGGAGCAUGUGGUUUAAUUCGAAGCAACGCGCAGAACCUUACCAGCGUUUGACAUGGUAGGACGGUUACCAGAGAUGGUUUCCUUCCCUUACGGGACCUACACACAGGUGCUGCAUGGCUGUCGUCGGCUCGUGUCGUGAGAUGUUGGGUUAAGUCCCGCAACGAGCGCAACCCUCGUCCUUAGUUGCCAUCAUUUAGUUGGGCACUCUAAAGAAACUGACGGUGAUAAGCCGGAGGAAGGUGGGGAUGACGUCAAGUCCUCAUGGCCCUUACGCGCUGGGCUACACACGUGCUACAAUGGCGGUGACAAUGGGCAGCAAACCCGCGAGGGUGAGCUGAUCUCCAAAAGCCGUCUCAGUUCGGAUCGUUCUCUGCAACUCGAGAGCGUGAAGGCGGAAUCGCUAGUAAUCGUGGAUCAGCAUGCCACGGUGAAUACGUUCCCAGGCCUUGCACACACCGCCCGUCACCGCUCGUGUACAACCGCC
rnacentral:rRNA from 1 species